GGGGGCGAUCGGAUUCGACGUAGAUUGCGAAGCUCAAGGUGCAUGCCGAGGAAGUGGUCUUACUCGUAAAAUACGACUACAAAACAAAAUAAACGCCAAAAAUAAGCGUUUUGCUUCAAAUUCAGCUGCUAACGACAGACUUGCUUUAUUAGCUGCCUAGGCUGGAUUUGAAAUCCGUUUACAAGAUGUGCUUAUGCGUUUUGCUAAACGGUCAUUUACAUAAGCUGGUAGUUAUGGUUUGUUUGAUAUCAGAACUACUGUAUAAAAUCAAACUAGCUAAUUGUUACUCCUGUUCAUCGGAGACAACAUGCGAAAACUAAAGAUGAACUAAGCAUGUAGCACUGAAAGUAGAGAAUUUGCGGACGCGGGUUCAAUUCCCGCCGCCUCCACCA
rnacentral:tmRNA from 2 species